CUUGAACAACCCAAAUUAACCAGAAUUUCACAUUAACUAAAUCACUUGUCGAAGCACGAUGCUAAAAAUGGAGAACCAAAUUUAUCCAGUGCCCUCUUGUGAAUCCAAAUGAAAUCCUUUUGAGAGUGCAAAUAGCCGUUAUCCGAAUGUUCAAAAUAUCUGAGACUAGAAUGUAACGGGUAAAAAAAAGAUGAACGUUGUUAUGGAGGGCAGGAAAAAGCAAAAAAAAUCAUAUGGGGGUUAUAUAAAACCAUUUCGUCUUUCUUUUACAACAAGUAUUCUUCCUGUUUCUGUUCUCUCUCUCUCUCUCUCUGUUAUAUUUUUUUUCAAUGUCUUCUAGAGAAUCUCUUUGUUUGUUUUGUUCCGCAGGAUUUUUCAUCUUUUUGUUUGUUUUGUUUUCUCUAGGAUUUUUCAUCUUAAGGGUUUUGUUACAGCGUGCACGCUGGUCUGUAUUUCCAUUUUAUUUUCGUUGGUUUCUCUGUGAUUUUUUCCAUAUUUUUUAGGUCGGUUUCUCUGUGAUUUUUUUCCAUUUUUUUUGGUUGGUUUCUCUAUUUUACAUAGGAACAGGCUGAACAGGGGAAGAGGCAGAGAAAAAGGAAGAGGCAGGGCAAAAAGAAGCGACAACUGGUAGAGGCAAAAUCCUUGUUCUAGAGACUGGAGAAUGAAUUUGUGCAGGAAUAUUUGGCAAGUGAGGAAGGAUGGAGGAGUUGUGCUACAAGCCAAUUCUGCUAUUUUGGAUUCAAUGAUAAAACCACUAGGGAGGGAUGGAGGGACUGAGAGAGAGGUUAAGAGGGACAUUCUUAUCUGCCUGAAAUUGAAGGCUCUGCGCUAGUGUACAUUCAGGGAUAUACAAUUCAAGCAGAUAGUGCAAGCUCACAACCAGUCACAGCAACUCUUCAACGCAAAGUCCUGAUGCAAAUGUCCAACAUGUUGGAGGCAAAAUCAUUGCAGUUAUUGGAACAUGUAGGUGUAGGUUGCUGAGAAGUUGGUUAUUGGAACUAGUGUGGAUUUGGAACAGCAAGGGAUGGGAUUGGGUAUUUACCAUUUUUUAGUCAUGUCUUGGUCAAUUACAUUGACUCAAUAGCUUUGUAUCAUGUACAAAUACAAUGAUUAAUAAAAAAAAUUUAUUGAAAGGGGAAAAACCCCUUUCAGAGACUGAAGGGAAUGGUCAUUGGCCAUGGCCAUUCCUUAAGGUCGUGUGUUUUUCUGACAGCUU